rnacentral:lncRNA from 1 species
CGGUGGUCAACACACAAUAGAAUAUGUUUGUUUUUGAUCGGAUUGAGACAAAAGUACCAUUUUGUAGGAUGUUCGCCGAUUCUUCCUCUUCUUUCUCUCAUAAAACUGGAGAUACUAGCUUCUAAUCUGCAUAUUUUUGCAAAUCCUUUUCCAUUUGGAUUUUUGAAAACAUUAACUGACCUCUAGAAUUCCACUAUAUAUAACGUUGACGUUCCGCCAAAAUGUGCCAGAGCGAGUGAAAGGCAAGCCUACCCACGGUGUUAACUUGCCAUCCCCAACAAAUCUGCUAGCAGCCCAUUCGAGUUCCGCUUGGAAACAAGAAGCUCUUCUUUAUUUGCGGUUUUUUUGCCCAAGAUAAGCCCAUUUUUACAGAGCCAAGCCUAUUAUAAGAGUUCAACUGCCAUAUUCGGAUGGAGUCCAAAUGCUUGCAUCUUGGGCUGAAGAAUGACCCAAUUCCUUAGCUUCCAUGCAUUAAUCAUAUCCGGGGAUGUGGGAAUAGGGAGAUGCCAUCCAUCUACAUGACACGAUAGCUUAAGCAAAGAAUAGAGAGAGCUAAGCUAGAAUACAAACAAAAAAGAUAUUCCACUAGCGUAGGCCUACCAUAGAAAAGUCUAAAAAAACCUUUUCUUUGUCUGUCAGCGGGAGAGAAAGCAAGCUUACGGUGCUUUGGAUGUUAAUGUUUU